rnacentral:rRNA from 1 species
GUAGGGAAUAUUGGGCAAUGGGCGGAAGCCUGACCCAGCCAUGCCGCGUGCAGGAUGAAGGCCUUCUGGGUUGUAAACUGCUUUUAUCAGGGAAGAAAACACCCAUGCGUGGGGAACUGACGGUACCUGAGGAAUAAGCACCGGCUAACUCCGUGCCAGCAGCCGCGGUAAUACGGAGGGUGCAAGCGUUGUCCGGAUUUAUUGGGUUUAAAGGGUGCGUAGGCGGCCCAUUAAGUCAGUGGUGAAAGCCCGGGGCUCAACCCCGGAACCGCCAUUGAUACUGGUGGGCUUGAGUAUGGACGAGGUUGGCGGAAUUGAGGGUGUAGCGGUGAAAUGCUUAGAUACCCUCAAGAACACCGAUUGCGUAGGCAGCUAACUAGGCCAUAACUGACGCUGAGGCACGAAAGCGUGGGGAGCGAACAGGAUUAGAAACCCCUGUAGUCC